rnacentral:rRNA from 1 species
GAUGAACGCUGGCAGAAUGCUUAACACAUGCAAGUCUUUCGAGAAGAUGUGCUUGCUCCGCCUAGCCAGGUCGGGCGGGUGAGGAACGCGUCAGGAACUUGCCCUGCAUUCAGGGAUAACAGACGGAAACGACUGAUAAGACCUGGUAAAGUAAGACAGACACAUGUACGGCCUGAUGAAAAGAGAUGGUGCAGGAGAGCCUUGCGUACUGUUAGAUUGUUGGUGGGGUAACGGGCCACCAAGGGGAUGAUAAAUGGCAGGCCGGAGAGGGUGGACGGGCACAAGGGCACUGAGAUGCGGCACUUACUACUACGCGAGGCAGCAGUGGGGAAUAGUGGACAAAGGGGGCAACCCUGAUGCAGCACUUCGGUGUGUACGAUGAAGUUUUUAGGAAUGUAAAGUGCUUUCAGCAGGGAAGAAAAAAAUGACGGUACCUGAAGAAGAAGCGACGGCUAACUACGUG